rnacentral:lncRNA from 1 species
UCUGUCUCAAAAAAAAAAAAAGAGAGAGAGAGAGAGGAGCAAGAAGUAGUGAACGCCCUGAGGCUAAUCGCAGCAGCAGAGAGCCAUUCUUGCCCCCAGGCCAGAAAGGCAAAGGCUACCUCUGCUCACUCUGCCCUGAUAACACUGAAUACAGGAACUGUCUCCAUCACCCAGAACUCCCGGAACCAAGCACUCAGCCCGACACGUCAUACUUAUUAAAAACACGGAGGUCGUGAGUGGAUUUCCACGUAUUGUUCUAGAUGAUGGAGAGGCCUGAAGAGUGAGGAGUGGGGAAGAAAUGUCAUCGCUGUUUUCACCUGCACCCUUGUUUCAGAGAAGUGAAUAGUCAUUCAUCUCUGGUCAACAAAAUGAUAAUAGUAGCAGCAACAAUAAUAUUCUCUUUUUUUGAGCACUUCUUAUGUGCCAAGUACUUUAUGUAUGCAUUAUCAUAAUUAAGUCUUUCAACAAUACCAUAAAUCAUAUAAUAUUAUGAUCUCUAUUUUUCCAGGGAGGAAACUGAGGAAUAGAGAGAGUAAGUGGUG